AACUCUUUCCCUUUUCCUUUCCCUUUCUCAUCUCUCUCUCUCUCUCCCCUUAGUCCUCUCUCUCUGAACUCGAACCUUUCGUCCCCAUCCCCCGACCAUCAAAUCCCCUAAACUAGAUCUCAAAAAUCCGUCAAUAAACCACACCCAACGCAGCUUCCCUUACAGAUCUGCUGCAAAACCGCCGCCAAAUCGCUGUCCCUACCGCGCUCUCCCCACUCCCUCCCUCAUUCUUCGACUCUUUACCACCAUAGAUCUGAUGCGCGACCACUGUGAUGCUGCUCAGGGCUGAUCCGCCGGGGUCGAAGGACUGGUCGAAUUGACCUCUGGUCUAGAGAUAUACUAUAAUAAAGCGCGUUUUAGUUGGUUGUUCGGGUAUGGAUUCCCUGCAGUACGUACCACAGUCGAGCACGGCCGAAAUCGAGUUUCCCGUGGGCUUGAGAGUUCUCGUCGUGGACGACGACGUUACAUGCCUGAAGAUUAUGGAGCAAAUGCUUCGGAGGUGCAUGUACCGCGUUACAACUUGCUCUCAGGCCACUGUUGCCUUGAACUUGUUACGGGAGAAGAGAGGUUGUUUUGAUGUGGUACUUAGUGAUGUUCAUAUGCCUGAUAUGGAUGGUUUUAAGCUCCUUGAACUUGUUGGGUUGGAGAUGGACCUUCCUGUCAUUAUGAUGUCAGCUGAUGGAAGAACCAAUUUAGUUAUGAGGGGAAUCAGACAUGGGGCUUGUGAUUAUUUAAUUAAGCCUGUACGUGAAGAAGAGUUGAAGAAUAUAUGGCAGCAUGUUGUCAGGAAAAAGAAGAAUGAAAAUAAAGAAUAUGAGCAUUCGGGUAGUUUGGAUGAUAACGAUCGGCAUAAACGAGGAAGUGAUGAUGCUGAAUAUGCUUCAUCUGUUAAUGAAGGGGCCGAAGGAUUAUUAAAAAUACCAAAAAAGAGGAGGGAUGCUAAAGAAGAAGAUGAUGGUGAACAGGAAAAUGAUGAUCCAGCCGCAGCAAAGAAGCCACGGGUAGUGUGGUCGGUGGAGCUGCAUCAACAAUUUGUUAGUGCUGUGAACCAACUCGGGAUUGAUAAAGCUGUACCAAAGAGAAUUCUGGAAUUGAUGAAUGUUCCUGGUUUAACUAGAGAAAAUGUUGCAAGCCAUUUGCAGAAGUUCAGACUAUAUUUGAAGAGGUUAAGUGGAGUAGCGCAACAGCAAGUUGGGAUUCCCAAUUCGUGUUGUGGGCCUCUAGAACAGAAUGGAAACCACAGUUCCCUAGGAGGAUUUGAUAUUCAGGCUUUGGCUGCUUCUGGUCAUAUUCCUCCACAAACAUUGGCAGCUCUGCAUGCUGAGCUUCUAGGUCGACCAACUGGGACCCUAGUCUCCCCUGGAAUGGACCAGCGACUACUACAGGCAUCCUUUAAGGGACCUGCAGGAAUUUCUAUCGACCAGGGUGUGGCGUACGGUCAGCCUCUGAUUAGAUGUCCAUCCAACAUUUCUAAACAAGUUCCACAAAGCAUCAUAGCUGCUGAGCAUGUUAAUACAGCACAUGGCGGAUGGCCACCUAAUGGCCCUGGUAAUGUGGGACCCCUCACCAAUCUUGGUGGUUUGGGUGCUCAAAGCGGUAAUAUCUUAAUGGGUAUGUUACAGCAGCAGCAGAAACAGACCUUACAAUCAGAACCCAGCCGUUCAAUUAAUGUGCAGCCUUCUUGUCUGGUGGUUCCCUCUCAACCAUCAGCAAGUUUUCAAGCAGGAAAGAACCCUGCUUCAAUGAAUCAGAACUGUAGCUUUAGUAGAAGUCCUGCGAUCAAUUACAGUCUUGUUUCUCCUCAGUCAAAUAAUAUCUCAUUUGGUGCUGGACAAGUAUUGGAUGGAAAUCUGAAAACACCAAGUGUGCUGAAUGGGUACUCAGGUGCUGGUUCCAUUUCUCCUUCCAUGUUAUCUUGCUCAAUAAAUGCUGAUAAUAUUCCUAAUAGGCAACUUCAGAACUCAACAUUAGCAUCUACUGCUGCCGGGCAAUUGCCAGGGUUUGCUCGUAAUGUGUCUGAUACCCAAGGUUCUUAUGGCUUCAAUUCAGGUCAAGUGCUUGAUCAGGGCCCACUGAGAAAUCUUGGAUUUGUUGGUAAAGGCAAUUCCAUUCCGAGCAGGUUUGCAGUGGAUGAAGCUGAAUCACCAAUGGGCAUCCUGGACUAUGGAAAGUUCCAAGGGGGGAGUAAUGGGAACAAAGUGAAGCAGGAGCCAAGUAUGGAUUUCGUUGAAAAUGGGAAAGUUUGCAUCCCCAUCAUACAAAAUUUUUCACCAAACGAUCUCAUGAGUGUUUUCUCAGAAUAGGUAUGCCUAGUUUGCUUUGGUAUUUAACUUUAUGCUUUAAGAAUAUUCUUUUAAUUACUUUACUGUUACUACUGUACUACUUUUACUUGUUAUGUGCUAUAUUUUAUUAACCAAAUAGCUCUAGAUAAUAUGAAAGUCAUCAGUUCAUUUACUGUUGUAAAAUUUGCAGAUUAAUGAGGUUUUGUUGUUUUCACCGGUGAUAAAGGAUGAUUGGUUUGUUUUGGUAGGUAAGCAAUGAUUGAGAACUUGAUACUCUGUCUAAUGUCAAACGAAUGGGCUGUCUAAUUUGUUAUGGUGGCAUUUGUCCUUUUUUAUUUUUUGUGGAUACAAACAAAGCAAUAUCAGUACCAUGUAAUCCCCACUCGAUCAGGUGGGGGACCGGAAACAGACCAAACAUUUGACAAUAUUAUAUGCACAAAGUUGCUCAUCUCUGAAAGUUUUUCCCUGGAAUAUCGGUCUCCCUAUAACUCCAAAAAUUGAGGAACUCAAGGGACGUUAUGCCGUGGAACCGUGACCCCAAUUUCUGUGGAAUGAAACAUGGUUUCCUUACAUGCCUAGAUGCACGAUCUGUGUGUUACGAAGGUGGAGGUGUAGUGGUGCCACUAGUGGAUUUUGGCUUAGUAGCUAUGAAGCACCGACACCUCUAGACGCCGAAGAAUCGCAGUGUCAGGACACGGGGACACGGCGGGACACCUCGGAGAUACGUACUAUCAUAUUUUAAUAUUAAAUUUUGAGGGGGACACGGUUGGGGACACGGCGGGGACACCGAUGGGGACACGGCCGGGGCCAAACUGCGAUUUUUUUUAAAAUUUUGGGGGCCAAACUGUAAUUUUUGAAAAAAUUGGGGGUCAAACUGUAAUUUUUUUUUAAAAAUUUGGGGCCAAAUUAUAAUUUUU